GGAGCCGUAGCGAAAGCGAGUUUUAACUGAGCGUUCAGUUACUUGACGUAGACCCGAAACCGGGCGACCUACCCAUGAGCAGGAUGAAGCGAAAGUAAAAUUUCGUGGAGGUACGAACCCACGAGCGUUGAAAAGCUCGGGGAUGACUUGUGGGUAGCGGUGAAAUUCCAAUCGAGCCCGGAGAUAGCUGGUUCUCCCCGAAAUAGCUUUAGGGCUAGCCUCAAGGUGAGGGAUACGGAGGUAGAGCACUGAAUGUCCUAGGGGGUAUUGCACCUACCGAAGACUAUCAAACUCCGAAUGCCGUCAUCUUAUACUUGGGAGUCAGACUGUGGGUGAUAAGAUUCAUAGUCGAAAGGGCAACAGCCCAGAUCGUCAGCUAAGGUCCCUAAAUGUAAGUUAAGUGGUAAAGGAUGUGGGAUUGCACAGACAACCAGGAUGUUGGCUUAGAAGCAGCCACUCAUUCAAAGAGUGCGUAAUAGCUCACUGGUCGAGUGAUCCUGCGCCGAAGAUUUCCGGGGCUAAAACUUACUACCGAAGCUACGGCAUCAGUAAUGAUGGGUAGGGGAGCUUCCCAUACGGGUUGAAGCAUGACCGUAAGGACAUGUGGACAGUAUGGGAGUGAGAAUGUUGGCAUGAGUAGCGAGAUGUGGGUGAGAAUCCCACAGGCCGUAAACCCAAGG
rnacentral:rRNA from 1 species